rnacentral:misc_RNA from 1 species
UCGGAUCGUUUUAGAAACAUCAGUGGCCAACAGAUCGCCAGAUCGUUGAGCUGCAUUGGCGGGAUUUCGCCGUCUUCGUUUCUCUUUCUUCGCGGACGAACACGCGCUGGGCCUGCAACGGCAGGAUCCAGGGUCCUUAACGGGAUGUGCGUUAGGGGCUUGUAGCUCAGUUGGUUAGAGCGCGCGCUUGAUAAGCGUGAGGUCGGAAGUUCAAGUCUUCCCAGGCCCACCACUUUCAUCGAGUGAGCAUUCGUCUUCUGGUUACGGGGCCAUAGCUCAGCUGGGAGAGCGCGUGCUUUGCAAGCAUGAGGUCGUCGGUUCGAUCCCGUCUGGCUCCACCAGAUGGUUUGAUCACCGAGAUCUUGACCGUCGUCCGCGAAACAUCACUUCGCAUCCUGCUAGUCUGGAUAGACAGCAGUUUGCGUGUUUUCUGACAUCGUAAAGAGGAGAUCGAUCCGAGUUGGGUCGUGCAGCAUAUCGUUGCGCGAGCCUUCAUUAUCUCCGGAUCAUUUCGGCGCUCGCUUCCAGCCGUGAGGUUGGAUGCGGGUUGUAAAUGAUCCUUUUAGCGAAGCUUGACCGCCUCGCUAUCGGAACGAUCUUACGAAGCAAGCUGGUCUUUCUAGUCAAUGUCCGGCUGCAGAUAGCGUUCAUCGAGGGCGCGUGCCGCAAGGCAAUUCUGCAGACAACAUUCUGCCGAGUGUGUGGACAUUGAUAAUGAGAGCAAUCAAGUGCCUUAAGGGUGUUCGGUGGAUGCCUUGGCGCUGAGAGGCGAUGAAGGACGUGCUACGCUGCGAUAAGCCGUGGGGAGCUGCGAAGAAGCUUUGAUCCGCGGAUUUCCGAUGGGGAAAACCCCGGAANNAUCNNAGCUNCUUCGCAGCUCCCCACGGCUUAUCG